UACGUAGGUGGCAAGCGUUGUCCGGAUUUAUUGGGCGUAAAGGGGGCGCAGGCGGUUCCUUAAGUCUGAUGUGAAAGCCCACGGCUCAACCGUGGAAGGUCAUUGGAAACUAACGAACUUGAAUUCAGAAGAGGAAAGCGGAAUUCCAUGUGUAGUGGUGAAAUACGUAGAGAUAUGGAAGAACACCAGUGGCGAAGGCGGCUUUCUGGUCUGAAAUUGACGCUGAGGCUCGAAAGCGUGGGGAGCAAACAGG
rnacentral:rRNA from 1 species